CCUCUGCCACCCGGAGAACCAGGCCCGAGAUGACUCCAACGGUGGGUGCUCGGGCUGAGGCCCCACUUGAGACUUGGCCCCAUGCCCCACAGCCCUGUGUCCGGCCUCAUUAGACAGCAGGCCACAAAGCUGCUUCUGUGAGGUUAGCAUCUUUCUCACUCACUUGCUUUUUUUUUUUCUUUAAUUAAAAUCGAUACCAUAGUGAUGAAAAAAGCAGGCUUUGCAAAGCACAGGAAGUCCCUGGAUCUUUGUUUCUCCUCCCACAUCUGCCAAAAUGCAAAUAAAUUUCCCUAGGGCCUCAACUCACACUCCAUAAAUAAAGAUCUGAAGUCACUCAAACUUCCACAUAGGAAGUGUUAGACAUCUCAGAGGAAAUUCGCUUGUUAAACCCUUGAAUACACAUGUGAGGUGUGGGAGAGAAGGCAUUUGUCAACCAAAACGUAGUCCCCUCUUCCUACUGUGGAGCGAUAGCUAAAAACCUCAAGGCCCAGCCCUGUUGCAGCCUGCUGUGGCAUGCGGCCAGGUCUUGCCAAUGGAUGGGAGGGGAUGGAAGGGGAUGGUAAGUGAUGGAGGCCUCACCCAGGCCAAGGCUUCGAGGAGCAGGUAGGGUUUCUCCACUCUCUUCUGCUGCUGGAUGCAGAGGCCUCCAAGGCCGGGAAGGGUGGAGAGCCGUGAAAUGGGAGGAGCGUGGGUGGCUCUCUCCGUUGCUAAGGAGAGGAGAGAGCUGCCAACCAGGAGCAACACGGCUGGAUUGUUCCUGAGCGUUGAGCCCCUGCUGUUGACUGCCAGCAAUGUGAAGUGCACCAGACGCUGUGGACGAGGAGGAGAUUCAAGGACACUAAGUCCGGGCCAGGUCCCAAGAUGCCUUUCUCUAAUCGCUCAAGAGUUAACUGCCACCUUGAAUUACCUUGGAACGUACGGGGAGGAGCUGUUCUCGUCCUUCUCUGCCCUCCAAUGUUCAUCUAUACUCUGAGUGAAACAAAACAGAACAUGUGGCCAAAGGGGAGCCCUUGCGAGAAAAAGGCAGGGAAGGAGCAGACACAAACUCAUGCCGAGCUUGGGAAUUGCAGCCCUAUGGCCUGUAUCCUGGGAAAUACAGCCUGGCGCCCUGUCGGACCCACAUGGACUCAAAUUUCCCAGUUACCAUUUAAGAGCUGCCUGAUCUUGGGCUAGUCAUUUGACCCUGCUCAGCCUCAGUGUCCUCAGCAGCAUAUCUACUUCCUUGGGUCACCAUCAAGAUGGAAUGAGAUAUCGUGUACAAAGGGCCAGCGGGUCACAAGCCCCCCACGUGGAAGUAGAUGAUGCUACAGCCCAUGAACCCUUCUGCCCUCACAGAGCUUUCACCUGUUUGCAAGUUGACACUCUCCUCCGAAGCCUGCCUUUUCAAAAUAAGGGAGAUGUCCCACCCCUGGGGUUCUUUGUGAUUCUCAGAGCUUUCUUUUUCACCCAGGUAGGGAAAACUAACUUUUGUACCCAACAUUACAUCAAUGACAUUGCUUUAUCUAUGUCUUUGUUUUAUGGUGCUUUUGGCGUCCUCAUUAAGAAAUCUUUGCCUCUGCCAAGAUCAUGAAGAUAGUCUCCUAUGAUUUCUCCUAGAAGUUGACUUGUUUUACCUUUCACAUUUAAUUCUGCCAUCUACCUGGAACUGAUUUUUAAAGACACUAUUUCAAAUACUAAUUUGGUUUUUGAAUAUAAUUUGCAUAUUAAUUUGGUAGUAUUUGUCCUAAAUUUUCUUUUUUGUUUUUAAAUAAAAAACCAGGAAUUUAGACAGUACUAAUUUUCUGGAUGGAAAAAAGAAUUUAUAAACUCUAAAAUUAUACUAUUGCCCGAUUUUAACUUUAGGAUAGUCAAAAUAUCAGAAAACAACUUUUCCAUUUUGUGAGGCCGAAUGAAAGUCAAUUUGCUGUAAGUAUUGAUUACAUACAUAGAGAAUGCUUGUAUGAGGUAAACGAAUCAUGGUGACUACUUAAGACACUGAGACUGGUUUAAGGAAGGAGUCAUUCAUUCAAGAACAUUUUACUGAUAUUUAUAUUAUAAAUACACACUUGCAAUAAGUAUAUUUGUAUAAAAUAUUUAUAC